GACGAACGCUGGCGGCGUGCUUAACACAUGCAAGUCGAACGGAAAGGCCCUGCUUUUGUGGGGUGCUCGAGUGGCGAACGGGUGUGUAACACGUGAGUAACCUGCCCUUGACUUUGGGAUAACUUCAGGAAACUGGGGCUAAUACCGGAUAGGAGCUCCUGCUGCAUGGUGGUGGUUGGACAGUUUCGGCGGUUGGGGAUGGACUCGCGGCUUAUCAGCUUGUUGGUGGGGUAGUGGCUUACCAAGUCAUUGACGGGUAGCCGGCCUGAGAGGGUGACCGGCCACAUUGGGACUGAGAGACGGCCCAGACUGCUACGGGAGGCAGCAGUGGGGAAUAUUGCACAAUGGGCGGAAGCCUGAUGCAGCAACGCCGCGUGCGGGAUGACGGCCUUCGGGUUGUAAACCGCUUUCGCCUGUGACGAAGCGUGAGUGACGGUAAUGGGUAAAGAAGCACCGGCUAACUACGUG
rnacentral:rRNA from 1 species